rnacentral:rRNA from 1 species
CGAAAGCCUGACGGAGCAAUACCGCGUGAGGGAGGAAGGCCUUUGGGUUGUAAACCUCUUUUCUCAGGGAAGAAGCUCUGACGGUACCUGAGGAAUAAGCAUCGGCUAACUCCGUGCCAGCAGCCGCGGUAAUACGGAGGAUGCAAGCGUUAUCCGGAAUUAUUGGGCGUAAAGCGUCCGCAGGUGGUUUUUCAAGUCUGCUGUCAAAGACCAGAGCUCAACUCUGGGCCGGCAGUGGAAACUGGGAAACUAGAGUUCGGUAGGGGUAGCGGGAAUUCCCAGUGUAGCGGUGAAAUGCGUAGAUAUUGGGAAGAACAUCGGUGGCGAAGGCGCGCUACUGGACCGAAACUGACACUCAGGGACGAAAGCUAGGGGAGCGAAAGGGAUUAGAUACCCCUGUAGUCCUAGCUGUAAACGAUG